UGAAAUGUCUCAGUCAGUAGCUGACUGUUUUCAAUAUUCAACCAUAACUCAACAAUAUGGGAGUUUGUAGUACAUGAAAAUGUGUUCUAUCGAGGAGUUAUCAAUAAAGAAACUCUGAGCAGACAGUUAAAGGCUUCUUCAGAGAAUCCUCUGAGCCAUGUGCUCUACCUGUAAAAAUAGACUGGCUCCACUGAAGUUGCUCCAGUUUACCUCAGCACCUGUCUCUUGAGUCUCACUUGGCUGCAAGGGAAGGAAAGUUACUCUUUGCAGACCUGAUGAUAGCCCACCCGCAGUAAACAAAAGUUCCUCCACUUCAUCUACAGACACAAGUAAGUGCCUUCUCACAAUGUUUCGUAUCAAAUUCCUGAAUGUUAGAAAUGAAUAUUGAAACAAAACAAAACCAAGCCAACACUGUUGUUUAUUGUAGUACUGACUUUUCGAAAGCAAAUGGCUACAUGGCAGUAUUUGAGAUAUCAGUUAUUUUUCUGCAUAUUGCAAAGUCUGCAGCACCCGAGAUACCACCAUGGGUAGCAGCCAAUCCUGAGAUGCCUGUGAAAGGACAGGCAGCCUCCCUCCCCUAAAGCCUAAUGUGGCCUCAUCACCUCUUCCAUCUGUGCCUGAGUAGCAAAUAGGAACCAGCUGUGUAACAUGCACAGCCCACCCAGCAGCAGGCAAGAGGCUGUCCUGGAGCACUUUUAGAGAAAUUGCGAUAGAAACAAAGAAUGAACAAAGCACCUCUGGCACAGAGAGCAGGAAGAGGACUGGGGAAAGCACUGAAGUAGGCUCUGCCUUUGAAAGGCUGGUGUAGAGCAGGAUGGAGAGGCAUGAGCACAGUGCUUCAAACUGCUGCUUGGACUGCCUGUAGAAGUCACUCACAGGAAGGAAAAGGAAGGAGCAACCCCUGCUGCAAAUACAGCUAUUCUGGACUGGGACCUGGAAGAGCGGGUGUAAGCCUAAGGAAAACAAGUUGGCCCCGACAUGCCUAAAUAAAGACAAGUUGUUUGAAAUGCAGCAAGAGGAAAGGGCAAGGAAGACAUAUUUUCUUUGGGGGAGCAUAUCUCUUUACUGGUGGCGUGCUUUCUACCUGUUCAAAAGCAAACUUCAAGGUGACUGAUCGGUCUUAGCCAGCCUGAGUGAGGGAUAACAUUUUCAGAGAGCUGCUACAGAGGAAGGACUACAUGUUACAGGCAAAACUCAAUGGGAUGCAGAGGAGACUCUGUGGAAUACGAACGGAGGCGGGAGCCCCGAAGAGGGCUGGGGAGAGUCACUUGUCCCUCAAGCGACCACCAAGAGCUGCUGGCAGGGACAGGGAGGAUGACAGAGCACUAGGCAAAUUCUCCAGCUGCUCCUGUCGAAUUCCAGGCUCCCACACCCGCUUCUGAGCAACGCUGGGAUACUGUGAAGUAGCUGGCUUCGUCAGAGCUGCUGAACCUAGUCUCAGUGGCUAAGAUUUUUAAGGGUAAUUGAGUGGGAUAGCACACAGAAAUUGCAGUGACUGUGUGGCCUCUCAAACUGCUUAAGGAGUGCCAACCAAAGGCAGACUGCGUAACAAACUAAUCCCUAUCACCUACUACCAUCUUCAACAGGAUACUACAUAGGUAUACAAGCGUUAAAGCAAAGGCAUUUUUCCAUCAAUACGGAUGGAAAUAGGAAAUAGUGCAUUUAAUUCUAACUGAAAAUCUGCUAGCUGGAACAAAAAUGACAGCUUUAACAAGGGAGUAGGCUCUGCCGUACUG